ensembl:lncRNA
GGUGCACUCUCCCAAGCUUCAGCAGUUUGUACAGCUGUUUUCAGACCUGCAAGUUUUGAGUUCUUCCAAAGUGAUAUGAUCUAAGGAUGGCGUGUUUAUUAUUCUUCUGGUCUAUAAGUGAGCACAUGCAUUCUUUUCUGCCUUGUAACUGUGGGGAGGGUCCCUUCUCCACUUGCUUCUCCUGGGGCUGCCGCCCAGGACUACAACCAGUAGCUGAGUAGGGACAAAACAACAGAGUUCUUCCCGAGCGUCUCCAGGACACCGGGGCAGGCGCAGAGCUACUCUCACGCGCUUCGGUCGGCGUGUCGGGUCUAAGGCGCAGGCGCGCUCCGGCCUUGGAGACGAAUUGGGAAGCUGAGUGCGCUCAGAAGCCGGCGUCAUGGCGGAGACAGAUCCCAAAACUGUUCAGACACUUCUGCAGCAGAUGCAGGACAAGUUUCAGACCAUGUCAGACCAGAUAAUUGGACGAAUUGAUGAUAUGAGCAGUCGAAUUGAUGAUCUGGAGAAAAACAUUGCUGACCUUAUGACCCAAGCAGGGGUGGAAGAAAUAGAAGGGGAAAACAAAGUACCUGCUACACGGAAUAGUUAAAGGUUUUGUUAAUCAUUUAGAGUGAAUUCUGGAAAAUGUUUUUUACAAGCCAAGAGGUGAAUGAACAGCUUUUCUCAACUAACUACUGUGUGCAAACAUUUUUUAAUUACAAAGCUUGUAUUCCUAGAAUAUGCAGUUUAGUUAGGUUUCAAGGUGAUUUAGUUUUUGAUUUCCUGUAUGUGGUAGCUCAUAAUAUAUGAUAAAAAAUGUGUAAAAUUAGUAAACUGAAAUUCUGACUACUCUUGGCUAAAAUUUUAAAAAUUUUUAGUGCAUUUUUUGUCAUUUGUUCCUUUUGUAGUAGUUUCAGUUUAAUAACAAAUUGCUGUGAGUUUUUUUUAAGAAAUGUAUUAAUUUUUUCAACUCUUAGUAGACUCUCUUUGUGAAGUAAACACCUAGAGUCUAUGGUUUGUAAUUCUCAGCACAAAAUUACUGUUGUACUAAUAAGAAAUAAAUGGUAUGUUGACCAUAUUUUUAAAACAGACAAAAAAAUUCGAGCUUUUUGUAUUUAGAUGUCUGUCGUUGCUAUGUUUCCGUGAUUGACAACUAUACCUAAGAAUCUACUGUAAAAAGCAGCUGAAAUUGAUUGACAGUAACUACUGCCACUUUUUAAUAUACUGGAGGAUUUGGAUAGUAACAAUAUCUCAAUUCCUCACAAAUACUAGGGACAGAAAAUAACCUGUAAAGAUGAAUUCCAUUCAUUGGUUAGAAUUUUGUGUGUCAUAACACUUCAGUAAUUAGUCAUAAAAUCAGAAGUGUUCACUGUAAGAAUCUGAAAAGGUUUUAAAGUCCACUUCAUAUUCACCUGUGCUACUGAUUUUAAAAAGCAUUUGUUGUUUAGAAGAAAAAGCAAGUGGCCAUUAUUAAGCCUUGUUCACUUAUUACUUACUGACUAAUGAAUGCCCUUAUUAUAAGCUUGGAUUUUUUAAAGAAAAACUGUGGGUUUUGUUGUUUACCUUUUUCUUACCUAAAUGCUUGCAGAAUAACACUUUUGUAAUAGGUUAUAGGUGGAAUGGAAAAACCACACAUUUUCAUCACGACAUAUUCUCUCUGUUUUAAUAAAGAGGCAAGGGGGACAUGGCUUGGAUACCCUGAUGAUUAAUUCAUCAGAUUGCUCCCGGUAUUUAAAAAAAAAAAAUUAAGGUCAAGAUAAAGCUGAAGGAUGGUAUAUAGAGGUAGAGGAUCAUUUUUCCUGAAGAGGAAUGGUUAAGUGAAUAUUUUGUGAUUGUAGAAGAAAUCUCCGUACAACCUGAUAGUUUAUUGUAUUGUUAUAAAUAUGGAAUAAAGCUAUGAAAUAAGUUUGUUCUAGUUUUGAUAUAUCUGGUGUAAAAAUCAUCUUAUUAAGCCUCUGUUAGUAAAUCAUAUAUUUGUAAGUGCCUACUACAUACACAGCCUUGUGCUCGUUAUUUGGAAUUUGAAUUUCAGUCAGGAUCUAAAUAUUGGGGAAUGGCAGAAGUUUUUUGAAUGCUGUGAUGGUACAUUUAUCUUAAUAAAAUGAGCAAAAUGACUUACAGGAUAAUCUGAAAAUAGGAAAUAUGGAGAACAUUCAGAACAUUUCAAUAUGUAGAGAAGAGAUGAAGGCUUGAACUAAAGGUAGUUGUGACAGGAGAGGCUGGGAAUGGUAAAAAUAUCAUUAGAAACAAAAUUUGGCAUCAUUGAAUGUAUGGGGGGAAAAUUAAUUACUAUGUGAUAUGCUAAGCAUUGGGGAUACAAAUAGAAAAGUUGGACAUUCUCUCAACUUCAAGUAACAGAGUAGGAGCUGGAAGGGGAGUAGAGGAGAACAGUGUUAUUGGUACAUUUACUUGAUAAUCAUGUUGCCCAGAGCACAGAAUCCAGUGGCCUUGCUCCUCCCAUACAUGAUCUCUUGGGUGGCGGAACAAUAUAAGGGAGAGAAUGCCUUGAGAGUAAAAGGUGAAGAGGGACUGGGAAUUGGGGAAAUAGUUAAGGUGGAGCUAAGGAAUGGGAAGGGGAAUAGAAUCAUAGAACUUAAGGGACCACCUAAUCCAAUUUCCCACAUUCUAAAGUUUAGGAAACGGGCAUAUUAAGUGAUUAAGCUAUUAAGUGAUCCGCCCAAGAGCACAGGAAGCCAAAAGUUAUGGAGGGUCCUUAUCAGGAUAUAGCUGAGAAUUCUUCAUUGAAGUUGCUGGAGCUUGUUUUCUAUUCAAAAGUCAUGAAUAGGAGCAAUCUGUUAUUCUACCCCCUGGAAGUAGAAAACUGGCUGCAAUGGUGGCUCAAGUAGGCCUGAAUUACAGCUGCUCUCCUGGGGCUGUGGUCUCAGCACUUAAGAACACUGCUGGCCCAGACCCCUUGCUUUUUUUUUCAUUUGUUCUUUUUCUAGCUUUUUUUAGUUGCAAGCCCAAUACAUUGAUCUCUUUCUCUAUUUUAUGCUAAGCCUCUAGAGAGAUAAAAUUUCCCCUUAUUACUGUUUUGGCUGCAUCCCACACAUUUUGGUAUGUUGUCUAAUUACUGUCAUUCUCUUGGAUAAAAUUAUUAAUUGUAUCUAUGAUUUGCUGUUUCAACCAUUCAUUCUUUAGGAUGAGGUUAUUUAGUUCCAAUUAUUUUUUGGUCUAUUUUCCCCUGGCUUUUUAUUGAAUGUAGUUUUUAUUGCAUCAUGAUCUGAAAAGAAUGCAUUUACUAUUUCUGCCUUUCUAAAGGAAUUUGAAUUUGAGGUCUUUAUGUCCUAAUAUGUGGUCAGUUUUUGUAUAGGUUCCACAAACUGCCAAGAAGAAAGUAUACUCCUGUCUUCAGUUUUCUCCAAAGAUCUAUCAUACCUAACUUUUCUAUUAUUCUACUUACCUCUUUAACUUCUUAUUUGUUUUGUGAUUUGAUUUAUCUAAUUCUGAGAGUGCAAGGUUGAGAUCUGCCACUAUUAUAGUUUUGCUGUCUAUUUCUUCUUGCAGCUCUCUUAACUUCUUUUUUAGGAAGUUAGAUGCUAUAACCCUUGGUGCACAUAUGUUUAAUAUUAAUAUUGCUUCAUUGCCUAUGCUAUCCUUUAGCAAGAUAUAGUGCCCUUAUCUCUUUUAAUUGCUUCAAUUUUUGCUUUUGCUUGAUUUGAAAUCAGAAUGACUACCCCUACUUUUUUUUUUAAUGCAGACAAAAUUAGAAGCGAAGCAACAAACUGGAAAAACAUUUUUACAUUCAAAGGUUCUGAUAAGGGUCUCAUUUCCAAAUUAUAUAGAAAAUUGACUCAUGUUUACAAGAAAUCAGUCCAUUCUGCAAUUGAUAAAUGGUCAAAGGAUAUGAACAGACAGUUUUCAGAUGAAUAAAUUGAAACUAUUUCUAGUCUUAUGAAAAAGGUGCUCCAAAUCACUAUUGAUAGAGAAAUACAAAUUAAG